rnacentral:lncRNA from 1 species
UUCCCAAACGCAACGUUCGGUAACCGAGAACAGUAGUUCCUGGGUUUCUAGAGCUAGCUGGUAUAAGACUGAAAUUAGCUGGAACUGCUGUUCCACCUUUUUCCUGGAACAAGCUUGUUCCCGAAUAAGAACAAGGUUAAUUAAAUAUAAAUUUAAAUUUUAAUGAUAGUAAAUUAUUAAUUAAUCUAAUUAAUAUAUUUGAAUUAUUAUCUAUUGCUUAAAUAAUAAAAUAAUUAAUUAAUUAUUUAUUUAUAAUUAGAUAAGAAUAAUUAUUAAUUUAAUAAUUAUUAUUUAUUAAUAAUUAUUAAUUAAAUAAU